rnacentral:rRNA from 1 species
AGCAGCCGCGGUAAUUCCAGCUCCAAUAGCGUAUAUUAAAGUUGUUGCAGUUAAAAAGCUCGUAGUUGAAUUUCGGGAUCAGUUGAUCGGUCGUGCCUCGGUACGUACUGGUCAAAUUGAUUCCUACCUUCUGACGAACCACGAUGUCAUUAAUUUGGUGUCGUGGGAAAUCAGGACUGUUACUUUGAAAAAAUUAGAGUGUUUAAAGCAGGCUCGCGCUUGAAUACAUUAGCAUGGAAUAAUGAAAUAGGACGUUUGAUUCUAUUUUGUUGGUUUCUAGGAUCGACGUAAUGAUUAAUAGGGAUAGUUGGGGGCAUUAGUAUUCAAUUGUCAGAGGUGAAAUUCUUGGAUUUAUUGAAGACUAACUACUGCGAAAGCAUUUGCCAAGGAUGUUUUCAUUAAUCAAGAACGAAAGUUAGGGGAUCGAAGACGAUCAGAUACCGUCGUAGUCUUAACCAUAAACUAUGCCGACUAGG